UACGUAGGGGGGCUAGCGUUGUCCGGAAUCAUUGGGCGUAAAGCGCGCGUAGGCGGCCCGGUAAGUCCGCUGUAAAAGUCAAAGGCUCAACCUUUGAAUGUCAGUGGAUACUGCCGGGCUAGAGUCCGGAAGAGGCGAGUGGAACUCCUGGUGUAGCGGUGGAAUGCGCAGAUAUCAGGAGGAACACCCGUGGCGAAAGCGGCUCUCUGGGACGGUACUGACGCUGAGACGCGAAAGCGUGGGGAGCAAACAGG
rnacentral:rRNA from 1 species